GAUCUUUAUUUUUGUUAAUUAUAAAUUAAAAAGAAUAAUUAAAUUUAUAUUUUAAUAAAAAAUUUUACUGGGGUGGUAUUAAAAUUUAAAAAACUUUUAUUUUCAAUUUACAUUAAUUUAUGAAUAUUUGAUCCAGUUAUAUUGAUUAAAAAAUUAAGUUACCUUAGGGAUAACAGCGUAAUUUUUUUUUAGAGUUCUUAUCGACAAAAAAGAUUGC
rnacentral:rRNA from 1 species